GGAGCAGAGAGAGAGGGGAGUGUCAGUGUGUGGCUCUGGACAGAAAGGCUGCAGCAAGCAGGCCCUCACAGAGGGAAGCAGCCAAGAACCUGCAUGAAGCCUGGGAAGAACAGAGCGGCCCAUUGGGGACACCCCAGGACCGGAGCCAGGAGGAGCACGGUGCCGGGGAGGAAUCAGCCGAGAAGGACAAACUGGAGCUGGACCCAGUAUCACUGCUGCCCAGAGCUACAUGAGGCUGAGCCCUCCACAAAGAAGUCGUCAGGCUCUGGACCAAGGGAAAGGCACCUCAAAAGGCAGGAACUGGAAACUACACCUAGCAUUUAACCACAAUUAAUCUGCAAGGGUUUCUUCAGAGUUGGGAAGAAUGCAAUCUGCUAAAACUUGCUGGAGGAGGCAUAUUUAGUUUUCCUUCCCCACUGCAGAACUGGAGAUGAGGGAGUAGAGUCUGCACUCAGUUAUGCUGGUAUGUAUCUGAACUAUUCUCCUCACCUUCUAAACGUAUGCAGUUGCUUGGCAGAAAGGAAGUGGGGAAGAAAAUGAAGAUUCCAAAGAAAAACCUUUGUGAAAGUGAGUCGUUGGGGAGGCUAACAAUCAAGUGAGACUGAUCAAUAGGUAAAAUAGGUAAAUCCUAUUGAAUCAUGGAGAAGUGUAUUGAAGCAAGGCCAAAUGGCCAGAAGAUGCACUCAGGGGCUCGCUCACCUACACAUCUACCAAUGUGAUAAAUGUCAUCAUAUACCAGCAAUGCUCCCCUAACAUGUACAUGAGCCAGACUAGAUAGUCUCUACGCAAAAGAAUAAAUGGACACAAAUCUGACAUCAGGAAUUAUAACAUUCAAAAACCAGUAGGAGAACACUUCAAUCUCCCUGGUCACUCAACAACAGGAGCAAGAGGCAAUUCUUCAACAACUUCAAAAACAGACUCCAACAUGAAACUGCAGCACUGGAAUUAAUUUGCAAACUGGACAUCAUCAAAUUAGGCCUGAAUAAAGAGUGGGAGUUGUUGGGUCAUUACAAAAUCUAAUUUCCCCUACUGACAGGUUUCAGAGGAACAGCCGUGUUAGUCUGUAUUCGCAAAAAGAAAAGGAGUACUUGUGGCACCUUAGAGACUAACCAAUUUAUUUGAGCAUGAGCUGAUGAAGUGAGCUGUAGCUCACGAAAGCUCAUGCUCAAAUAAAUUGGUUAGUCUCUAAGGUGCCACAAGUACUCCUUUUCUUUUUGCAAUUUCCCCUACUGUUACUCACACCUUCUUGUCAACUGUUUGAAACAAGUCGCUCUCAUUACCACUGCAAAAGUGAUUUUUCCUCCCUUGGUAUCUUACUGUUAAUUGAAUUGUCUCAUUAGACUGACCUCCCACUUGGUAAGGCAACUCCCAUCUUUUCACGUGCUGUGAAUUUAUACCUGCUACUGUAUUUUCCACUCCAUGCAUCUGAUGAAGUGGGUUCCUGCCCACAAAAGCUUAUGCCCAAAUAAAUUUUAGUCUCUAAGGUGCCACAAGGACUCCUCGUUAUUUUUGCUGAUAAAAACCAACACGGUUACCACUUGGAAACCUGUCAGAUAGAGGAGGUGCACCUACAUAUGGCAGGACAUGUUCCAAUAGGAUCAAGAUUACUAUGGAAAUGAAACCUUUACGGCCCACUCACCACGCCACUGAGAUAAUUAUUGAAGCUAUUUCCAUUAAAAAAAAAAGGAGUUAGCUGUAAUUAAAGGGAACACAAAGAUCUAAUCCUGCACGUACCUACUCUAUGUAAUCGUGUGUCACCCUUCCCUUGCCCUUCCACCAUGUGUCUGUGGCAUCUUGUCUUAC